AACGAAGGAUAUGAUGAUCAUUCUUUUUUCCCCAACUUAUCGACAAUGAUGAGGAAAAUAGCUGAUCUAUAAGCCAGAUGGUCUGAUCCUUAUAU